CCUACGGGGUGCAGCAGUAGGGAAUCUUCCACAAUGGGCGAAAGCCUGAUGGAGCAACGCCGCGUGGGUGAAGAAGGUCUUCGGAUCGUAAAACCCUGUUGUUAGAGAAGAAAGUGCGUGAGAGUAACUGUUCACGUUUCGACGGUAUCUAACCAGAAAGCCACGGCUAACUACGUGCCAGCAGCCGCGGUAAUACAUAGGUGGCAAGCGUUAUCCGUAUUUAUUGGGCGUAAAGGGAACGCAGGCGGUCUUUUAAGUCUGAUGUGAAAGCCUUCGGCUUAACCGGAGUAGUGCAUUGGAAACUGGGAGACUGGAGUGCAGAAGAGGAGAGUGGAACUCCAUGUGUAGCGGUGAAAUGCGUAGAUAUAUGGAAGAACACCAGUGGCGAAAGCGGCUCUCUGGUCUGUAACUGACGCUGAGGUUCGAAAGCGUGGGUAGCAAACAGGAUUAGAUACCCCGGUAGUC
rnacentral:rRNA from 1 species